AACGAACGCUGGCGGCGUGCUUAACACAUGCAAGUCUAACGGGAAUGUCGGCUUCGGCUGACUAGUACCGUGGCGAACGGGUGAGUAACACGUGGGCAAUCUGCCCUUGAGCUCGGGAUAACCUUGCGAAAGCGAGGCUAAUACCGGAUAAGACCACGCCCUCCACGGGGGGUGCGGUAAAAGGUGGGCUCUUCCUGAAAGCUACCACGUUAGGAUGAGCCCGCGGCCUAUUAGCUAGUUGGUAGGGUAAGGGCCUACCAAGGCGACGAUGGGGAGCCGGCCGUGGAGGGUGUACGGCCACACUGGCACUGAGACACGGGCCAGACUCCUACGGGAGGCAGCAGUGGGGAAUUUUGCGCAAUGGGGGAAACCCUGACGCAGCAACGCCGCGUGAGUGAUGAAGGCCUUCGGGUUGUAAAGCUCUUUUAGUGGGGAAGAAGCCCUGCAGGGAUAAUACCCCUGCGGUCUGACGGUACCCACAGAAAAAGUUCCGGCUAACUACGUGCCAGCCGCCGCGGUAAUAC
rnacentral:rRNA from 1 species